CCGUCUGUCCAAUCCGCUGUGGACGUGACACCUACGCCCCCGUCCGUGCCCACACCCCCACUCGGAGACAUUGCCGACACUGGCAACAUUGCUGAUCCCGUCACCACUACACCUUGAUCCUGAGAUCCACUGCCGUAACCCGGGACCUGCUGUGCGUGGUGCACCCCUUCCAGGGUUUCGCCCACCAAACAAGAGCGCCCCACUCGUCACCCCGCCAUGUAGCUGGUAGCUGCAGUCCAUGCCUCCACCAGUCAUGAACGGGUCACCGUGAUGCCGUAUACACCAGCGGCCGUGAAUACGCUGCUGGCCCCACCAUCCG
rnacentral:lncRNA from 1 species